GACGAACGCUGGCGGCGCGCCUAACACAUGCAAGUCGAACGAGCGAGAGAGAGCUUGCUUUCUUGAGCGAGUGGCGAACGGGUGGGUAACGCGUGAGGAACCUGCCUCAAAGAGGGGGACAACAGUUGGAAACGACUGCUAAUACCGCAUAAGCCCACGACCCGGCAUCGGGUUGAGGGAAAAGGAGCAAUCCGCUUUGAGAUGGCCUCGCGUCCGAUUAGCUAGUUGGUGAGGUAACGGCCCACCAAGGCGACGAUCGGUAGCCGGACUGAGAGGCUGAACGGCGACAUCGGGGCUGAGGCACGGACGAGAAUCCUACGGAAGGCAGGAGUGGGGAAUAUUGCACAAUGGGGGAAACGCUGAUGGAGCGACGCCGGGUGGAGGAAGAAGGUCGUCGGAAUGUAAACUCCUGUUGUUGAGGAAGAUAAUGACGGUACUCAACAAGGAAGUGACGGCUAACUACGUG
rnacentral:rRNA from 1 species